rnacentral:rRNA from 1 species
AUUGAACGCUGGCGGAAUGCUUUACACAUGCAAGUCGAACGGUAGAGGGGGCAACCCCUCGAGAGUGGCGAACGGGUGAGUAAUAUAUCGGAACGUGCCCAGUCGUGGGGGAUAACGUAGCGAAAGUUACGCUAAUACCGCAUACGACCGAAGGAUGACAGCGGGGGCUCUUCGGACCUCGCGCUAACAGAUGAGCCUAGGUCGGAUUAGCUUGUUGGUGAGGUAACGGCCCGCCAAGGCGACGAGGCGUCGCUGGUCUGAGAGGACGAUCAGCCACACUGGGACUGAGACACGGCCCAGACUCCUACGGGAGGCAGCAGUGGGGAAUCUUGCGCAAUGGGCGGAAGCCUGACGCAGCAACGCCGCGUGUGGGAAGACGGCCUUCGGGUUGUAAACCACUUUCAGGGGGGACGAAGCUUCCAGGGUUAAUAGCCCAUGGGGUGACGGUACCCCCAGAAGAAGCCCCGGCUAACUACGUGCCAGCAGCCGCGGUAA